rnacentral:rRNA from 1 species
AUGGAUAUUUAUAAUUGCAGCAAGCUUGAGUCCACAUCCCGCAGGAAGCUGCAGCAAGGACAGUCAGUAUCAUCGAUUCAUCAAGGGUCAUCCAGUAUAGAAGCAUUAUCAUUAUACCUCUGUGAUGGCUUAACAGGGGUCCUCUAUUUUCCCCCAUCCCUCAAGAGAAUAAGCAUUUGUCACUGUGGUGGGCUGACAUCUCUGGAAUCCUGCUCUCCCGUUGUCCAAUCCUUGGAGUACCUCCAGCUUGUGUACUGCAAUUCCCUGUCAUCGCUGCCAGAUGUUCCGCAAGCAUACUCAUAUCUCCAACGUCUUACCAUUAAAGACUGCCAUGGUAUAAAAACGCUCCCUGCAAGUCUGCAGCAACGGCUGGGCAGCCUCCAGGUGGAAAGGAUAGAUGCACAUUAUUAUGGAAAUAAGCCUAUGCUGCUGAAGCCGAAGACAUGGAAAUAUGUCUGCAAAGGUUGA